rnacentral:misc_RNA from 1 species
AUUAACACGUUCGUCGCCACGUCACCCAUAUCUAUGUGACGGAUAUACUGCCGUGGGGUCCCGUCACCAAAGUAUGGUGACGCUCUUCUUUAAUGCGAAUCGCUCAUGUGGUGGUCUCAAGAAUGAUCUUUCGUUUCGUUUGUUCGCAACAUUAAAACCACUAACUGUUGUUGAAUAUAAUGAAGGAACGUGUGGUAUAGAUUAUUCCGACCAAAUGGUUUCUUAUGCCACCACAAUUAGGAAAGGAAUCAAAUGG